GACGAACGCUGGCGGCGUGCUUAACACAUGCAAGUCGAACGGAAAGGCCCUGCUUUUGUGGGGUGCUCGAGUGGCGAACGGGUGAGUAACACGUGAGUAACCUGCCCUUGACUUUGGGAUAACUUCAGGAAACUGGGGCUAAUACCGGAUAGGAGCUCCUGCUGCAUGUUGGGGGUUGGAAAGUUUCGGCGGUGGGGGAUGGACUCGCGGCUUAUCAGCUUGUUGGUGGGGUAGUGGCUUACCAAGGCUUUGACGGGUAGCCGGCCUGAGAGGGUGACCGGCCACAUUGGGACUGAGAUACGGCCCAGAAUCCUACGGGAGGCAACAGUGGGGAAUAUUGCACAAUGGGCGGAAGCCUGAUGCAGCAACGCCGCGUGCGGGAUGCCGGCCUUCGGGUUGUAAACAGAUUUCGACUGUGACGAAGCGUGAGUGACGGUAAUGGGUAAAGAAGCACCGGCUAACUACGUG
rnacentral:rRNA from 1 species